rnacentral:rRNA from 1 species
UACAGAGGUCUCGAGCGUUAGGCGGAAUCACUGGGCUUAAAGCGUGUGUAGGCGGAUCGUUAAGUGCCUUGUGAAAUCCCACGGCUCAACCGUGGAACUGCUUGGCAUACUGGCGGUCUUGAGCAACCUAGGGGCGAGCGGAACAAAUGGUGGAGCGGUGAAAUGCGUAGAUAUCAUUUGGAACGCCAAUGGUGAAAACAGCUCGCUGGGGGUUUGCUGACGCUGAGGAACGAAAGCCAGGGUAGCGAACGGG